rnacentral:rRNA from 1 species
AGCGAACGCUGGCGGCAGGCCUAACACAUGCAAGUCGAACGGAUCCUUCGGGAUUAGUGGCGGACGGGUGAGUAACACGUGGGAACGUGCCCUUUGGUUCGGAACAACUCAGGGAAACUUGAGCUAAUACCGGAUGUGCCCUUCGGGGGAAAGAUUUAUCGCCAUUGGAGCGGCCCGCGUCUGAUUAGCUAGUUGGUGAGGUAAAGGCUCACCAAGGCGACGAUCAGUAGCUGGUCUGAGAGGAUGAUCAGCCACAUUGGGACUGAGACACGGCCCAAACUCCUACGGGACGCAGCAGUGGGGAAUCUUGCGCAAUGAGCGAAAGCCUGACGCAGCCAUGCCGCGUGAAUGAUGAAGGUCUUAGGAUUGUAAAAUUCUUUCACCGGGGACGAUAAUGACGGUACCCGGAGAAGAAGCCCCGGCUAACUUCGUGCCAGCCGCCGCGGUAAGAC